UAGGGAAUCUUCCACAAUGGACGCAAGUCUGAUGGAGCAACGCCGCGUGUGUGAAGAAGGUUUUCGGAUCGUAAAGCUCUGUUGUUGGUGAAGAAGGAUAGAGGCAGUAACUGGUCUUUAUUUGACGGUAAUCAACCAGAAAGUCACGGCUAACUACGUGCCAGCAGCCGCGGUAAUACGUAGGUGGCAAGCGUUGUCCGGAUUUAUUGGGCGUAAAGCGAGCGCAGGCGGAAUGCUAAGUCUGAUGUGAAAGCCCACGGCUCAACCGUGGAACUGCAUCGGAAACUGUCAUUCUUGAGUGCAGAAGAGGAGAGUGGAAUUCCAUGUGUAGCGGUGGAAUGCGUAGAUAUAUGGAAGAACACCAGUGGCGAAGGCGGCUCUCUGGUCUGCAACUGACGCUGAGGCUCGAAAGCAUGGGUAGCGAACAGG
rnacentral:rRNA from 1 species